GGGUUUAUCGUCUAGUGGCUAAGAUACUUCUCUGUCUAAGAAGAUACUAGAUUUCGAUUCUCUCUAAGCCCG
rnacentral:tRNA from 2 species